rnacentral:rRNA from 1 species
UACAGAGGGGGCAAGCGUUGUUCGGAAUUACUGGGCGUAAAGGGCGCGUAGGCGGCCUGCUAAGUCGAACGUGAAAUCCCUGGGCUCAACCCAGGAACUGCGUCCGAUACUGGUUGGCUUGAAUCCGGGAGAGGGAUGUGGAAUUCCAGGUGUAGCGGUGAAAUGCGUAGAUAUCUGGAGGAACACCGGUGGCGAAGGCGGCAUCCUGGACCGGCAUUGACGCUGAGGCGCGAAAGCCAGGGGAGCAAGCGGG